rnacentral:rRNA from 1 species
CACGUAGGGGGCGAGCGUUGUCCGGAUUUAUUGGGCGUAAAGAGCUCGUAGGCGGCUCGGUAAGUCAGGUGUGAAACCUCCAGGCUCAACCUGGAGACGCCACCUGAUACUGCCGUGGCUAGAGUCCGGUAGAGGAGCGUAGAAUUCCUGGUGUAGCAGUGAAAUGCGCAGAUAUCAGGAGGAACACCGAUUGCGAAGGCAGCUCGCUGGGACGUAACUGACGCUGAGACGCGAAAGCGUGGGGAGCAAACAGG